rnacentral:rRNA from 1 species
UACGGAGGGGGCGAGCGUUAUUCGGAAUUAUUGGGCGUAAAGGGCGCGUAGGCGGCCCUGCAAGUCAAAGGUGAAAUCCCUCGGCUCAACUGAGGAACUGCCUUUGAAACUGCAGGGCUUGAGUCCGGGAGGGGGUAGCGGAAUUCCCAGUGUAGCGGUGAAAUGCGUAGAUAUUGGGAGGAACACCAGUGGCGAAGGCGGCUCACUGGCCCGGUACUGACGCUGAGGUGCGAAAGCGUGGGGAGCAAACAGG